GAACUGAGAUGAUCAGUGAAUGACCGUGACGAGGGGGUUAGUGAUUCUGGUGAACGACAGGGGUAUUAAUAGUAAACGACAACGGUGAUCAGUGAAUGAUCAUUAUGAGGUGUGAUGAUUCUAGUGAAUGAUAAUAAUGAUAAUGGGGAAUGGUGAAGAUGAUCAGUGAAUGAUCAUGACAAGGAUGACGAUGAGGGUGACUUAUGAUGAUGAAUUGUGAAAUGUGAUGAAUAGUGGAAGACAGACAUUUUAGUAUUAUUUUGUGGUUAAAAGAUUUUUACUCUAUUUAAUAUUGAUUCAUAGUUUAAUUUACAUGUGAUAUAUGUUACAUGCGUGAUAGUGCAAUAUGUAUUGGUUGGGAGGGAAGUGUUAUGUAAAUAAAUGUGUAUGAAUGA